rnacentral:rRNA from 1 species
UACGUAGGGUGCAAGCGUUGCCCGGAAUCAUUGGGCGUAAAGAGCGCGUAGGCGGCUAGAUAAGUCCGGUGUGAAAGUCACAGGCUCAACCUGUGAAUGCCGCUGGAAACUGUCUGGCUAGAGUCCGGAAGGGGCGAGUGGAAUUCCUGGUGUGGCGGUGAAAUGCGCAGAUAUCAGGAGGAACACCAAUGGCGAAGGCAGCUCGCUGGGACGGUACUGACGCUGAGGCGCGAAAGCGUGGGGAGCAAACAGG